CUUAUUUGGCUCCUGUCUGCAGGGUUUACGCGCACGUUGGAAUCGAAGAGAGCUCUGUUGUUGCAAUGUUCAGCCCACAAGAGCUUACAGGUGAAGGAAUGGGACAAGACCCAUCUUUAUGCAAAGCCAGCGUUACAGUAAUGUUCCAGGUAUUUCUGAUGACAGUCUGCCUCUAUCUUACAGUACUACUAACCAAUAACCUGCUUGGCUCAAAGGGCCAGCACCUUCUCUCUAAAGCCCAAGAGGAGUUUGAGGAAAACUAGGUGUCUCUGUUCACUCCAGGCUGAAGUUACAGGUUUGAGGAAAGGUGUAUAAAAAAUGGAAUCUGUCUUGGAGGACAUCAGAAGUUGAAUUUUCCAAGUCCUUGGACAACCUAGCUGUUGAAAAGCUUUCUGGAUUUGGGGGGUCUUUCAGAUGUACCUUAAAGUGUUAGCAGACACAGAUUAAGACACUGGGAGCCAAUGAAACAUAGCAGUUGAGGGUUUGCUAUGUAUCACAUUUCUGUAUUUUAUCACCUCCUUCCUGCAACAUUAUUUCUGUGGAAUCUACCUGCCCUUUUGUUUUUUAGAUACAAGGGCUUGGUUUUGUUACCAAGGCUGGUUUCAAGGCCCUAGCUUUAAGAGAUCCUCCCACCACAGAUUUCCAAAGUGCUGGGAUUGCAGGUAUGAUUAGUGGCACCCAGACUUUGCUGCCUUUCUUACAUGAUCAAGGCCCGGAACCCAAACUCAGGCACUGCAUAGAUGACCAGUUUGG
rnacentral:lncRNA from 1 species